UACGUAGGUGGCAAGCGUUGUCCGGAUUUACUGGGCGUAAAGGGCGCGUAGGCGGCCUGCUAAGUCGGAUGUGAAAUCCCUCGGCUCAACCGAGGAACUGCAUCCGAUACUGCAGGGCUAGAGUCCGGAAGAGGCGAGUGGAAUUCCUGGUGUAGCGGUGAAAUGCGCAGAUAUCAGGAAGAACACCGAUGGCGAAGGCAGCUCGCUGGGACGGUACUGACGCUGGAGGCGCGAAAGCGUGGGGAGCAAACAGG
rnacentral:rRNA from 1 species